UUUAUAUAGUUUAAAUAAAACACUAGAUUGUGAUUCUAGUAAUAGAGGACACCUCUUAUAAACC
rnacentral:tRNA from 1 species